GAAUGACCGGAUGUUGUUUACGACCCAGCAGGUGAAUAGCUCAUAUUUAGUGAGCGCUAACACGCAACAAUUAACAAGGGUCUGGUGUGCAAGUGAUUCAUAAAUGGACUUGUUUUCAUCGAAAAUUGCAUCACUGACUUUUCGGAGCGACGUACACAGCUUUGGAGAUCUGCAGCCUGGCUUAUGAGAGGAUGUGCACUCUGAGUGACAGCAACCCCCCCACCCCCUGC